rnacentral:rRNA from 1 species
CCUACGGGGGGCAGCAGUGGGGAAUAUUGCGCAAUGGGCGAAAGCCUGACGCAGCGACGCCGCGUGAGGGAUGAAGGUCUUCGGAUCGUAAACCUCUGUCAGCAGGGAAGAACGGUCACUGUGCUAAUCAGCAGUGAAUUGACGGUACCUGCAAAGGAAGCACCGGCUAACUCCGUGCCAGCAGCCGCGGUAAUACGGAGGGUGCGAGCGUUAAUCGGAAUUACUGGGCGUAAAGCGCUCGUAGGCGGUAUGUCAAGUCAAGGGUGAAAUCCCCGCGCUCAACGUGGGAACUGCCUUUGAAACGGGCAAACUGGAGUGUGUGAGAGGAUAGUGGAAUGCCAGGUGUAGGAGUGAAAGCCGUAGAUAUCUGGAGGAACAUCAGUGGCGAAGGCGACUAUCUGGCACAUAACUGACGCUGAGGAGCGAAAGCGUGGGUAGCAAACAGGAUUAGAUACCCUAGUAGUC